GCCCUCGUAGCUCAAUGGUAGAGCGCGUCACUAGUACUUCAUAUUUGAAUCGCCAAUGACGAGGUUGCCGGUUCGAUUCCGUCCGAGGGCA